rnacentral:rRNA from 1 species
GUGCCAGCCGCCGCGGUAAUACCGGCAGCCCGAGUGAUGGCCGAUCUUAUUGGGCCUAAAGCGUCCGUAGCUGGCCGCGCAAGUCCAUCGGAAAAUCCACCCGCCCAACGGGUGGGCGUCCGGUGGAAACUGCGUUGCUUGGGACCGGAAGGCGCGACGGGUACGUCCGGGGUAGGAGUGAAAUCCCGUAGUCCUGGACGGACCGCCGAUGGCGAAAGCACGUCGCGAAGACGGAUCCGACAGUGAGGGACGAAAGCUAGGGUCUCGAACCGGAUUAGAUACCCGGGUAGUCC